GGUUGUGUGGCCGAGCGGUCUAAGGCGCCUGAUUCAAGUGUACGCUUACGGCUCCGCAGGGGGCCGGACACUCAGGUAUCGUAAGAUGCAAGAGUUCGAAUCUCUUCGCAACCA
rfam:Eremothecium cymbalariae DBVPG#7215 chromosome 1, complete sequence.